rnacentral:rRNA from 1 species
AGCGAACGCUGGCGGAAUGCUUAACACAUGCAAGUCGCACGGGGGCUUCGGCCUUAGUGGCGGACGGGUGAGUAACGCGUAGGAACGUGUCCUGGACUGGGGGAUAACGCUGGGAAACUGGCGCUAAUACCGCAUAUCUCCUGAGGGAGAAAGCCGCGAGGCGGUUUGGGAGCGGCCUGCGUCCGAUUAGCUUGUUGGUUAGGUAAUGGCUGACCAAGGCGAUGAUCGGUAGCUGGUCUGAGAGGAUGAUCAGCCACACUGGGACUGAGACACGGCCCAGACUCCUACGGGAGGCAGCAGUGGGGAAUAUUGGACAAUGGGCGCAAGCCUGAUCCAGCAAUUCCGCGUGGGUGAAGAAGGUCUUCGGAUUGUAAAGCCCUUUCGGCGGGGACGAUGAUGACGGUACCCGCAGAAGAAGCCCCGGCUAACUUCGUGCCAGCCGCCGCCGUAAUAC